AGUGAACGCUGGCGGUAGGCCUAACACAUGCAAGUCGAGCGGCAGCACAGUAAGAGCUUGCUCUUACGGGUGGCGAGUGGCGGACGGGUGAGGAAUACAUCGGAAUCUACUUUUUCGUGGGGGAUAACGUAGGGAAACUUACGCUAAUACCGCAUACGACCUACGGGUGAAAGCAGGGGAUCUUCGGACCUUGCGCGAUUGAAUGAGCCGAUGUCGGAUUAGCUAGUUGGCGGGGUAAAGGCCCACCAAGGCAACGAUCCGUAGCUGGUCUGAGAGGAUGAUCAGCCACACUGGAACUGAGACACGGUCCAGACUCCUACGGGAGGCAGCAGUGGGGAAUAUUGGACAAUGGGCGCAAGCCUGAUCCAGCCAUACCGCGUGGGUGAAGAAGGCCUUCGGGUUGUAAAGCCCUUUUGUUGGGAAAGAAAAGCAGCAGGUUAAUACCCCGCUGUUCUGACGGUACCCAAAGAAUAAGCACCGGCUAACUUCGUG
rnacentral:rRNA from 1 species